rnacentral:rRNA from 1 species
GGCUUAACACAUGCAAGUCGAACGCCCCGCAAGGGGAGUGGCAGACGGGUGAGUAACGCGUGGGAACGUGCCCUUCGCUUCGGAAUAGUCCCGGGAAACUGGGUUUAAUACCGAAUACGCCGUAUUGGGAAAGAUUUAUCGGCGAAGGAUCGGCCCGCGUUAGAUUAGCUAGUUGGCGGUGUAAUGGACCACCAAGGCUACGAUCUAUAGCUGGUCUGAGAGGAUGAUCAGCCACACUGGGACUGAGACACGGCCCAGACUCCUACGGGAGGCAGCAGUGGGGAAUCUUGGACAAUGGGCGCAAGCCUGAUCCAGCCAUGCCGCGUGAGUUGAAAGGCCUUAGGGUUGUAAAACUC